UACGUAGGGAGCAAGCGUUGUCCGGAAUCAUUGGGCGUAAAGCGCGCGUAGGCGGCCUCAUAAGUCCGUUGUGAAAGUCAAAGGCUCAACCUUUGAAAGCCGAUGGAUACUGUGAGGCUAGAGUCCGGAAGAGGCGAGUGGAAUUCCUGGUGUAGCGGUGGAAUGCGCAGAUAUCAGGAGGAACACCGGUGGCGAAGGCGGUUCUCUGGGCAUUACCUGACGCUGAGGAGCGAAAGUGUGGGGAGCGAACAGG
rnacentral:rRNA from 1 species